UGAAUCUUGUGCAUGUUACAGGGAAGCACUGUCCUACAUCCUAUGUGACAGGCUCUCAUAGUCACCAUCAUCAUGGGAAUCUUGCACAUGUUACAGGGAAGCACUGUCCUACAUCAUAUGUGACAGGCUCUCAUAGUCACCAUCAUCACGGGAAUCUUGCACAUGUUACAGGGAAGCACUGUCCUACAUCGUAUGUGACAAGGCU
rnacentral:lncRNA from 1 species